rnacentral:sRNA from 1 species
GACCGCCCCACCGGGGCUGAGGCCAUACGGACAGCCGGGUCCACUGCCGA